GCCCUCCCGGGCUGAGGCAGUCGGCUCCCGGCGCUGGACCCGGGGCUGCGGGCGGGGCCGGACGCGCCCGGCUCGGCGCCCCCGAGUCAAAGCCCCGGCCCCUACUCGCACCCCGAACCGCCCCGCCUCCAUCCUGGCUGCUCCUGGCGCCCAGCUUGGCAGCCUCUCUCAAAGGCAGGGACAAGCUCCUGAGUGGGAUCUCAGGGCCAUGGCAGUGAGGAGGCCUGUGCUCCACCAGCUCUGAAGAUACCAGCUACGUGAUGGGCUGAGGUCUUUAAUCAGUCUUGUCUCUAAGUCGAGAACAGGGUUGCACUAAGUGGCCCCUUGGGAUCCUAAGAGGCUGCGGCCUUGGGGUGCAGUUUGCAGGUGUCUGCAUUGCCCUCUAGCUCAUGGAAGCUUGAGCAGCUGGAGCGGGAAGGGCAGCAAGCUUCAUCUCACUAAUCAUGGAAUCCACAGCCAUGAUUUUGCUGAUGAGGGCAGAAAGGCCCAAGGAGGAGUCCACCAUCAUGCAGUGCACGUGCUCACCCACCAUUGCCCAGGCAGGGACACAAGAAACUCACAGUGAGAGCACCAGGCACCACCAAGAAGCCCUAGGAACACUGACCCUGUCUCUACAGUGGGGUGAGUCCUGGGGACCCAGUCCUGCUCUGACUCUGCACAGCGGUAUGUAUGUGUGGGUGGUUGAGUUUGGAGCUCUGAGUCUUUUAUUAAGGUGCCUCUGCUCUGAGCUUCGGAUUGUGGCACACCCUUGUUGCCCAUGGUAAACUGGAGGUGGCUAUUUGGUGCAGAGACUCUCAGAUCCCACUUGCUUGCCUCUUUCCCAACCUUCUGAAUUCUCUCAGGUAUCCCAGUCCUUGGAAGAGUAUAGGUGUGUGGCAGUGGAGUGCAGUGUCAUUUAAUGGUCCCUGUGCUUUGCUUUCUGUGGCUGAAGGAAGCCUGAGAGGAGUGGAGCCCUGUGCCUCAGUGAGGGCAACUCUGGGACAAGUCUGGGGUGUUCUGUGGCCUGUUGGAGAUGUGUGAGGAACCCAGUUGCCCCUUGUGGAGUCCACUCUUCCAGAUUUCCUGAAAGCUCCUUCCAGCCGGGCUCUGAGGCCCUUGCUCUUUCCCUCAGCCUCCCCUGACCAUCAGGGAUCACAGGCAGUGAACUACUUUUCUCCUGAGUCCCAUAGCACUUAGUUCUGGACAUCUCUGUGGGCUUGUCUUCACGUCUACAUGCUUUUAUUUAUUUCCCUAAUAUAUACUGAGCUCCUGUCAUAUGGUUCUUCCUGCCUGAGAGAGAGAGAGCGAGAGGGGAGAAGAAUGACAGCCACUAGGAUGGUUAACUUGACUGGGCCCUUUGUGUAUACCAGGCAUUGUUUUAAGUCUCUGAUUUUAUAAUGUAAGGGGUUACUUAGGAGAUGGUAAGUUUCUAUAAUAGUUUCAUUUUGUAUGUCAGCAAUCUGGGGCAUAGUAUGUAGGUAACUUAAUCAAGGUCACAUGCUCACUAAGUGGCAAAGUUGGCCUUUGGUCAGGUGAUUGAGUUCCAGACUUUUCAGCUGUGUGUUCCCUGGGGGCUGACUGCUGGUGGAUGCCAGAGAGAUACACAAGACACUCAUGGAUAUGGAAGGUGACAAACUGGGUCAAACCAGCUCACGGGCAAGAGAGCACCCAGAGGAGGCUGAGGGAAGGUGUCUUCAAGAAGGUUGCCCUGGAGCAGAGGCCCGCAGAAGGGCCAGUGGUGUAUGGUGUUGGGAGAACAGAACCCAGACCAGCAGACAGCAUUGGCACAGCAAGGCUGGUGUGCGGCGAGAAGGAUGUUCUCUUCACAGUGCAGGACUCGUGUGCAGGACUGGGCUCAUGCACUGGUGUCUUCUAGGGAGAAGCUGUUCAAUAAAUAUGAUGGAUGUAGUUGUUUAAUUUCCUGCCUAACUCCCAUCCACAGCUGGGGUGAUGGGCAAACAUGGACUCCUCACACUGUCUUUCUGCAUUUGGAAGACAUAACCAGGGAGUUUGAAGACUUCCCUCACAGGUGCUUUGGUUUCAUUCUUCCAUUUCUUCAUUCAGUCAUCCCAAUUUCACUGAGCUUACUUUGGCUGAAAAUGCAGAAAUGAAAGACUAGCUCUUGCUUCCAGUCCAUGGCCCUCUCAAGAUGAGGCAUCUGUGUCUCAGUUUCAUUGUCUGCCUUUCCCCAUGAGCCUUCCCCUGGACUCUUCUGAGGGAAGGGAGACACAGGCAGAGGACAGGUUGUUGGGAAGUUUGUGGGGACCUGGGCUGGGGCUACUGCAGGUGCAAAACCUGGGAGAGAAGGAAGAGCAAGCAAUGCAAAGCUGCCUCCAAGUAUGUUUUUAUCACCUAAAAAUAGUCGGGGCUGUAAUGACUUUU